rnacentral:lncRNA from 1 species
UUUCGUUUCAAAAUGGCGGCGCGUGUGAAUAAGGCGGAUUAGUCAUUGUAUUGUCUGUUCCUGACCUGUUUCAAUUUAUUUUUCUGUUCAGUGCUACAACAGAGUGAUGGGCCUUGAACGGUUCAAAUAAAACACAGUUCGGUAAGAUUUCAUUACUCAAAUAUGGCACUAUCUAUAAAUCAAACACAGACGAGGAUGUGAGUGAGUGGGUAACCCUGGCAAAGAGAAUGAAACCCUCACCUGAAAACCUCUCAACAAUCAAGCAUGCUAUGGACCGGACCUACACUCACAGAAGAAUAUGGAUUACAACACAAUCUUCCAACAUGGGCUGAGAUAUUUAAUCAGUAUCCACGAUUCAUUGAUAUGCCACACCUGGUAAGCAAAUUCUUAAUACUAUAUUUUUAUUUUUUAUAGCUACAGUAUAUCUGUCCCUGGAUUGAAUAUUUAUCUUUGUACAUCUUAGUUUGAUUUAGACUUUGACAAACACUUUGAGGGGAAGGCUGAUCUUUUCCUUCGCAAAUGGGAGACGAACAUCAUCCCUAAGCUAAUGAAGGUUGCUGCGUUGGAGAUGUCUGAGGAUCUGGAAAAUCCUUCAACCACCGGGAACAACAGUGAUGACAUGCUUUGCUUCAAAGCACUUCAGGUGCUCACGCAUCUUCUUCCACCAACUGCAUCAGGACGAGGGGCUGGAUGGAGUCGCUGCAGUGUGAAAUCAGCCAUUUCCUACCUCAUGGACUUUGUGCAAGUAUGUUUGUGUCUUAUGACUUUUUGGUUGCAUCACUGUUCACUGAACCUCCUGAUGUUGUGUUGUGGUCUCCUCCAAUGCUGGUUUACUAAUGUAGUAUUUCAAACGUUUUGUGUUACAGCCUGGAACGAGCAUCUCAUCAUUGCUUGAGAAUCGUGAUUCAUCGAGGGCCCAGCCUUGCAUCGUGUGCAUUGGACACCCAAGUGGAGCUACCCAGCAGUAUCUGAUCGUCGCAAGAAGUGACAAGAUUGCUGUGCCACUUGGAGAUGAAGGGCGGACCUGCACAAUUGAC